rnacentral:misc_RNA from 1 species
CAUCACCAUGACGGCCAUCACCAUGACGAUCAUCAUCAUGACGACCAUUACCACGACCACCACCAGGAGGACGACCACCACCAUAUCGAUCAUCAUCAUGACGACCACCACCAUGAUGACCAUCACCAUGAUGACCACCACGAGGACGACCAUCACCAUAUCGAUCAUCAUCAUGACGACCACCACCAUGAUGACCAUCACCAUGAUGACCACCACGAGGACGACCAUCACCAUAUCGAUCAUCAUCAUGACGACCAUCACCACGAGGGAAACGACCACAAAGAAGACUCAGGGGAAGAGGAUCAGUCGCAUGAAACGAAGGGCAUCGAGGAAAACAUGGACUAAAAAAGGAGCAACACGAUGCGCACGACCACCAUCACCUCCAUCACCUUUCCUAUCUUCACAAUCAUGACGAUGACUCAGCUACAUCACAUGAGGAGCAUGAGGAGGACGACUUUGAUACUCGUAAUCUACACGAACAUUAAGAUCAGCUUUGUUAGAAUACGACACAUGGUUUCGUUUUGCUGAAAGAAAGCAGUUGGUGAAUUUGGUCUAUGUUGCAAAAAUUUCCUUCAUACUCUGUCUUUGCAGAGUGUAAUGCAUAGUUAUUUAACGAACAAAUAGAUAAAUAUUUGACUUUGUAAGCGUAAGAAAUAUAGACAUGAAUGACAUUCCUAUUAAUCGCUAUCACGCUCGGGUAUCACAAAUUGUUAAUAGAAACUACAUUCAAAGA